rnacentral:rRNA from 1 species
CCUACGGGUGGCUGCAGUGGGGGAUAUUGGACAAUGGGGGGAACCCUGAUCCAGCGACGCCGCGUGAGUGAAGAAGUAUUUCGGUAUGUAAAGCUCUGUUAGCAGGGACGAAAGAAAUGACGGUACCUGAUCAAUAAGCCACGGCUAACUACGUGCCAGCAGCCGCGGUAAUACGUAGGGGGCAAGCGUUAUCCGGAUUUACUGGGUGUAAAGGGCGUGUAGGCGGGUAAGUAAGUCAGGUGUGAAAGGCCUGGGCCCAACCCCGGGACUGCUCUUGAAACUAUUGAACUUGAGUGCAGGAGAGGUAGGCGGAAUUCCUAGUGUAGCGGUGAAAUGCGUAGAUAUUAGGAGGAACACCAGUGGCGAAGGCGGCUUACUGGACUGUAACUGACGUUGAGGCUCGAAAGCGUGGGGAGCAAACAGGAUUAGAUACCCCAGUAGUC